rnacentral:lncRNA from 1 species
CCAGUGCUAAUACAGAAUUCCCCUAUAAUCUUCUGAACAAUUGCCAUGUUCCCUUACUAUCUCUGGCUUGAGAGAUCAAAAUUACUGCUGCUUCUGUCACCACCACAUAGUCCUACACAUAGUGUUUCAUCAUAAUGGGCUCUGGGUCACCCUCAACCCCAUGUGGCAAAAGUCUCUUUCCAAACUACUAUGUUGUCUUAGGCUAGAAGAAUGUUUCAUUCUGAAUUGUUUGUUAGUUCUGUCAUUCCAGAAUUCAAGUUGAGGUGCUAUUUUAAAAAUAUUUGGAAGGCAAUGUAGAGAAAGCUCAGUUAAGCAAUUUCUCUUCUUUGCCACCUUGGCUCUGCCCCCAGAAUACCUGCUCUCUUUACAAAAAAAAAUGGAUGUUUCAAGAAAGCAGACUCAUCAAUACUGGAAAUCUAUAACUGAAGUGGGUCUGUUUCAGAUAUUUACUGGAACUGAUAUAAAAGAACUGGAUUUUUCUGUGGCCUUUCACAUUGUCAUGAUGUACAGAAGUCUGAUUUCCAUUUCUUGCCAGAGGAAGCAAUGCCUUACGGUCAUAUGGCAGUAAAGAAUGAAAUAAAAGACCCUCCAAUAGAAAGGGCCAUGAUGGGUGCAAGCAAGUUGAGACAUAUAACCAAUAUGCUUCAAAGAAAAGGAAUAAAAGAUUUUGAAGAAAUAUAUAAUGGGAAGAGGAGGUGGGAAGCCCAUAUAUUG